CCUACGGGAGGCAGCAGUGGGGAAUAUUGCGCAAUGGGCGAAAGCCUGACGCAGCGACGCCGCGUGAGGGAUGAAGGUCUUCGGAUCGUAAACCUCUGUCAGCAGGGAAGAACGGUCACUGUGCUAAUCAGCAGUGAAUUGACGGUACCUGCAAAGGAAGCACCGGCUAACUCCGUGCCAGCAGCCGCGGUAAUACGGAGGGUGCGAGCGUUAAUCGGAAUUACUGGGCGUAAAGCGCUCGUAGGCGGUAUGUCAAGUCAAGGGUGAAAUCCCCGCGCUCAACGUGGGAACUGCCUUUGAAACGGGCAAACUGGAGUGUGUGAGAGGAUAGUGGAAUUCCAGGUGUAGGAGUGAAAUCCGUAGAUAUCUGGAGGAACAUCAGUGGCGAAGGCGACUAGCUGGAACAUAACGGACGCUGAGGAGCGAAAGCGUGGGUAGCAAACAGGAUUAGAUACCCCAGUAGUC
rnacentral:rRNA from 1 species